rnacentral:lncRNA from 1 species
CUCUACCUAAGUCAUAAAACUCAGGUUUUUAUUUGAAAAUAACUAUUCAUAUAAAGUAUACUUGAAUUAGUAAGUAUGGAAAUGAUAAGAAAAGCUUAAGAAAAAUCUUAUAAGAGCAAUAGAAAAUCAUAUAAGACAUAACUGGUUUUAUAAAAUCUUAUUCUUUGAGCUAAAGAAUCCUUUGAACUAACUAUUUACCUAG